ensembl:lncRNA
GGGAUAGGGGCGGAGCAGGCUGGGGUUGGAGGGUACCGGGUAGGGGCGGGGCAGGCUCCGGGGCCCGAGGGACCUUGCGCACUGGGCCUUUGGGGCGGCACUGGCACAGCGUCCCGCCUGGGGCUGCCCACGGCCCCACAUCCCUAUGUCCUCCACCCCUGCACCCCAGGGACACCACGAACAGGCGGUGCGAGCUCCCGGGCUCCGCGCUCUGCAGCGCCCCUGUGCAUGGGGCGGCCUCAGGAAGCCUGGGCUCCCGCAGCAGCGCCGGCCUUGGGCUGAGGUCCCCGAGCCAGGGCUCCACUUCCCGCUCAGCGGACCGCAGGAGUAAACUGAGGCACAGAGAGAGCCGGGUUCGCCGGGGUGCAGGAGCCGCACAGGGAGGAUAAAGACUCAGUAGGACCUGGUGUGGGGGAUCCAGCCGAGCCACGGACCCCAGCGAGGCCAGGCGCUGGGCGCGGGCCGGGGCGCCCCUGCUGGCCGCGUGGCGGCCGUUCCCCCUCCCCCCCCCCCCCCGCCCAGGGCUCAGUCUACCCUGCAGCCUGUCUGGGCCACCCGCAUUCACCUCCGAAACCCAACACUUCAUACCCAUGGUCUCGGUGCCACAUCCAGGCACCACCCCAUGCUCCCCUCCCCCCACACCCAAGUGUGGCGCUUCCCAAACCCCUGCCUAGAAAGCCACUAGCCCUGCCCGAGGUUUGCUCUCAUGUAGGCCCCUGGCCUACACCCCAGGUUGCAGGGGGAGCUCUCUCCUGGGACCGCCCUCCGCCCUCUACCCUCCUGAUCCCUGUUUGGCCUCCUCGUAGACCCCCACCUGCCCCAUUCCCUACUUGAGCACUCCUAGAGGUAGGUCCAGCCUGGCCUUGGUGUCCGGGACUGCUGCCAGGACAGAGGACAGAGCAAUCAGAUGCAAGGACCUGCCCCAGGACAACCGAGACAGCACGGCUGCCAAGAACCUUUUGUCAGAGAUGCCUGGAGAGCGUUUCUCUCAUUCCAACCAGGUGUGGGAAGGAGGCUGCCUCAGGCUGUUCCUAGACAGCAGUGAAGUCGAGCCCUGUGCCUGGCUGACGGAAUCUACUUCCACGUCAGGGAUUGACCGAAACAGCUCCCCAGCUGGAAAGAGAGCUGGUUCUCGGUCCCCACCUCGGAAGGCCUUCAGCUCCAGGCUUGGUGUCCCGCCCUGGCCCCCGUCGGGCUCGUGUUCACAGGAAUUCAUCAUUUCCCAGCCUCUAGAUUACUCUGAGGCUGAUUAAAUUAGCGAAUGCAAUCACAAUCUGAAGCAAGUUAAUUGAGAGAAUUUAUUUGGGUCUGACAGUUUUAUGCAUGUUUGAUUAAGUAUUAUAAGGUUUGUUUUUGACUUUGCAUAAUUUAACUUUAAAUCCUGCAUGGGGGGGCCCAUCAACCAUUAAUGACCAAAAUAAACCUCUUGUAAGAUGCUUCUUUUUAUGAUUUAUUUCUGAAUGCAAUAUCUUCCAGAUUUUUUUGAUGCUAUUGCCAAAGUGACAAAUAUUUUUAAAGUAACAUUUUGAGUCAUCCCAUUCACCCUGUAAAUCUUCCAGAAUGUAUACAAUUCAUUAAAAGUUUUGAAAGAAGUACAAGUUAGCAUUUAUAUGGCAACAAGUGACAUAUAAAUGCGUAUGUUUGUCUUCCAAGCGCGCCAUAAAAUGUAUCCCCCCGUGAGCGCCUCAGAGCCGUACAAAUCGUCCACGCACUGGGGUAAUGAUAAACUUGGUCACAAAUCUUCACUGCUGUCAACACAAAACUGUUCAAUCAACAGGAAUAUGAGUUGUGUGUUUUGUGAAAUUAGCACAGGAGAAAAUACAGCCCAGGCCUGGGUCUAGGGACACUGUGGCCCUGGGAGGAGGGC